rnacentral:rRNA from 1 species
GGACUACCGGGGUAUCUAAUCCUGUUUGCUCCCCACGCUUUCGCGUCUCAGCGUCAGCAACGAUCCAGAGGGCCGCCUUCGCCGCCGGUGUUCCUCCUGAUAUCUACGCAUUUCACCGCUACACCAGGAAUUCCGCCCUCCUCUAUCGCGCUCCAGCUGGUUAGUUUCCGAUGCCCUUCCGGGGCUGAGCUCCGGGCUUUCACAUCAGACUUGACCAACCGCCUACACGCCCUUUACGCCCAGUCAAUCCGAACAACGCUUGCACCCUCCGUCUUACCGCGGCUGCUGGCAC